CCUACGGGAGGCAGCAGUAGGGAAUCUUCCACAAUGGGCGAAAGCCUGAUGGAGCAACGCCGCGUGGGUGAAGAAGGUUUUCGGAUCGUAAAACCCUGUUGUUAGAGAAGAAAGAGCGCGAGAGUAACUGUUCACGUUUCGACGGUAUCUAACCAGAAAGCCACGGCUAACUACGUGCCAGCAGCCGCGGUAAUACGUCGGUGGCAAGCGUUGUCCGGGUUUAUUGGGCGUAAAGGGAGCGCAGGCGGUGUCUUAUGUCUGAUGUGAAUGCCUGCGGCUUAACCGGUGUAGUGCAUUGGAAACUGGGGGACUUGAGUGCAGAAGAGGAGAGUGGAAAUCCAGGUGUAGCGGUGAAAUGCGUAGAGAUAUGGAGGAACACCAGUGGCGAAGGCGACUCUCUGGUCUGUAACUGACGCUGAGGUUCGAAAGCGUGGGUAGCAAACAGGAUUAGAUACCCGGGUAGUC
rnacentral:rRNA from 1 species